rnacentral:lncRNA from 1 species
AAAAAGUAGGGUAUUUAAGUAAAAAAUUCAGACUGAUUUCAUGAAUGAACUAAAAUAGAGAGAUCAAAACUAUAAUUUAGCCUAAUUUAUAUUAAUUUAACUCAACUAACGUAUGCCAAAUAUUCAGAUUUCAUGAAUGAAUUAUAAUACAUUAAUCAUAAUGUGUCACAUAAUAAUACAUGAAUAUUUUUCAUUAAUUAAUUAAUCAUUUUUAAAAACGGUCCUUCAAAA